AAGCGUGCUGAGCCACCACAGCGCUGGGCCGCCAGCCAGCGUGACUGGGCGCGCGCCCCUCUCCCGCGGCCAGAGCCGAAUUGAGCCGCAAGGCCGACCAGAGCCGAAAUGGCUCCAUUUUUUCCUGGAAUUUAUUUUUUUCUAUUUCCAGGAAUCAGAAACAGUAAAAGAAAAUAAGAAAAAUUGUAAAGAAAAAUCAGAAAUAUUUCGGAAAUAUUUUUUCAGUUAUAGAGAAUUACAGAUAUAUUUAUGGACUAUUUUAUUCCGCUGCGUACUUUGGUACUUUAUUCAAUAUUUUAUGCAAUUUUUCAGUUGA
rnacentral:misc_RNA from 1 species